AAAAGAGUGGCGNACGGGUGAGUAACACGUGGGUAACCUGCCCAUCAGAAGGGGAUAACACUUGGAAACAGGUGCUAAUACCGUAUAACACUAUUUUCCGCAUGGAAGAAAGUUGAAAGGCGCUUUUGCGUCACUGAUGGAUGGACCCGCGGUGCAUUAGCUAGUUGGUGAGGUAACGGCUCACCAAGGCAACGAUGCAUAGCCGACCUGAGAGGGUGAUCGGCCACACUGGGACUGAGACACGGCCCAGACUCCUACGGGAGGCAGCAGUAGGGAAUCUUCGGCAAUGGACGAAAGUCUGACCGAGCAACGCCGCGUGAGUGAAG
rnacentral:rRNA from 1 species